rnacentral:tRNA from 2 species
GCCCUCGUAGGUUAACGGAUAGACCGCCAGCCUCCGAAGCUGGAGAUAUAGGUUCGAUUCCUGUCGAGGGCACCA